AUGGGAUUUAAAUUUUUCUUUUCUUGUAUUUGUUGUUUUUGUGGUGGUUUAAAGAAAAAGUAGGUCACAGAUUUUAUCUCAGUACUUUAACCUGUCCAGUUAAAAACAAGAAGACAGAUCUCAUUUGCUGUGAAUUUGGGUUCAGAGCCAGGUGGUUUCCCUGUUGCUUUCUACUCAUUGAGCUGAAGGUCCUCAUGGACAUCUUGUCCUAGAUGAUAUUUGGAAGAUCCUGUGAAGGGCAUUGGCCAGCGGCAAGAGAAGGUACCACUUCUAUCCCCAUCAGGUACAAAUGUAUUCUUGACAGAGCUGUGUGACCAGCAGGAACAGUCCUAAGCCAGACUGCAGGAGAGUCAGGUUACACCCAGUUUUCUCUGACUGCAAGUCCUAUAGCCUCUAAUUCUUGCAAUGCAAUCAUUCCACACCAGCAGAUCUCUCUAAAUGCUUCUAUUUGUUGUACAGAGGUUGCCCUUCAUAUCACUAUUUUAGAUUUUUACUCAUCCCUGAUGGACCUUGUGGACUGUGUACCUUGUGCCUCUAACGGUAUACCAAAUGCAUUUCUAUUAAUCCAUUAAAGAGAUUAAAAAAAAUCCUCUUUCCUUUGGUGAGGAAAUGAUUAUUUGCUUGUAUUAACCUAAUUUUAUGUUUAUAAGGUUCAAAAAUGAUUGUUGGUGACAUUGUAGACUUUUACAGAACUCUCCUGCAUGUACCUUUUCUUCUUAUGGUGGUGUAUAUUUCUGCAUAACUACAUAGCUUUACAAUUAUACAAUCUCACAUUCGUGAUUAUGUACAUAUAUAGGCUUGUGUAUCUGAAGGGGACAAUUAGAAUAGCUGCGCUCUCAAAUGGAGGUCAUUCUGGCUUGUAUCUGUUGUGAAAAUGGCAUCUAAGUGGAGACAGUGCACAGAUGUUGAGCUUCCGGAAAAUCCUACCAUCCUUGUAAUAAUUGCUACAUGCUUCCGGCCACAUAAACAAAGAACACUUAGUCCCUCGCAUACAGACACCUUUAUACGCCAAUCUUCAGAGCCAGUUAUUUUUAAAUUUGCAGAAUUUGCUUGCAGCACGAUUCUCUGCAAUAUCUUCCCAUCUAUUUUCACUGUGUCAAACUAUGACAGAAACAGAGGGAAGCGGGGUAGACUAAUGUGUCACUCAGGCUGGCUGGGAGAUAAGCUGAGAGAGCAAGAAUCGGGUGACGAAGGAGAAAAUGUGUCGUUGUUUGAAAAAGAACCCUUCCCUUUCCAGCUAUAUAUAUAAAACUUAUCCAUUGUAAAUGGCUAAGGUUAUCAUUAGUAACAAUAACGCUUACAUAUGUCUAGGGCCUCAUAACUUACAAAGUCCUCUUGGGCUGUUAAUUCCUCUCUUCCUCUGACAGUCUGUCAAUCUGCCAGCACAGACCUUAUUAGUUCCUCCGUGUGUCCCAGCCCUGCAGUGACUUCCUGCUGCUCUUUCUAAACCUGGUACCUCAGAUCAUACAUCCUGGAGCAAACCGGCCAUGCGCAUCUCCCAGAAGGCCCGGGGUUUGGCUCUCCUGCUUGAUGAUGUGUGGAAAUUUGCACACUGCAGUUAAUUCCUACUUAGAGAUAACUCAGAUCAUUAAAAACCUGAGGUCAGAUAACUGCAAAUUAUUGAGGUCAUGCUAUUUUUUAUGGAGACAUGUGACAACAUUAAAAAUGGAUAGUAUGGAUUAAUUCCAAAAAAUUUAUUCUCACUUAUGUCAUGGAGUCAUUGGGGCCCCAUCCAUUUCUCUUGUAAAUUAGUCCCUGAUAAUCAUAAUUAUGACCCUUAGGUACCAUAAGAAUGAAAUACGUCCUAAUUACUAAGAGGUGUUCAUUUAUGUCUUUUUGAUAUACAAGGAUUUUACUGCACCGUGACUCCCUGAGAAUCAGUCCCCUAUAUAUGUGAUUAGAUGUUUCUCCCAGUAGUAUUUCUGUGAAAGGAAGCCCUAUGCUUGGUGCUGAAUGCAGUCAAAUCCUAUGAUGACUUUCGCCUACACUUCUUGUUAAUGUCAGUCAUCCCGACUCCCUUGCUCAUUAGCCAUACGUCCUUCCCGAAGCGAAACCAUGUUGAGUGCGCACCAUGAUGAUGCUUUAUCAUGAGCGAAUGCUUUCCAUGUCACAUACAUGAUCGGAUAUCAUACAAGACCCAUGAGGUAUUAUUCCCGGCAUCUGUUUAAAGUCAGCCCCGGGAAACAUACGUUGCUCAAAGCCAAAUAACGAAGAAGUGACAGGGAAACAUGAUUCUAUCCACACAAGUCAAAAACUCUCCCCAUCAAACCACAGGCACGGCAGAAACUAGUCUUGCAGAAUUGAUGCUGGGAGCUUCAGCCAGCCCUGAUUCUCUUCACAUGAGGGCUAGCCUGGUAGUUCUCUUCCCUGGGACUGUUAGAGUAGUUAAUAUCACCUGACAAAUCAGAGGCUGAGGCACCUGAUUGUAAUCUUGAUGAUCAGUGUUCAAUGACAUCGUCCUCAGUGUUCCCUUAGAGUGUGCCCACCGUGGGAGAGCCCCACCCAGUGCAUUGUUCUGUGUGGAGAUAGUUUUAUAUAUUCAGAGUUGAAACAAGACCAUGACACAGCAGGGGCCUUUUGUAAUCACUAUUUUUUUUUUAAUUCAUGUAUGACAAUAGAAAGCGUUGAAAGGAAAUACUGGGGCAAGAGUUCUCCAUUUACCUUGGAUACAAAAUAGAUUUUUUCCCUCUGCCUUUGACUGAUGAACAGAACAAACGGUGCCCACUCUUCCCGGGGAGUGUGAAACAAGAGAUAACUGAACACAGGCUUCCUGAUCAGCUUUUCACUCUAAUCAGAACCGGGUUUUAAACAAGCUGACCCGCUAUGAACCACGUGACAGCAUUGCCUUGAACACGCUCAUCUGCACAGUGGCAUGAGAAGGUGAGGGACAUCUCUGAGGAAGUCAGGCGUGGUCUAUUAAUUAUGUGUAAGGAAUGGAUAGUCCCCAGGAAGCCACCAUCAGCUAGAGAGACCAAAACACUGUGCAGAAGAACUUCUCCGUUUUCAUGAGGGAUUGCUGAUUUCACAUGCAAAUUGCCCGCUAGUGCAAAGAUGCUAACAAAGCAAACUGUGCCUCUCUGCUCAGGAAUUCUAAAAAGAAAUAAAUGUCUUCUGUAUUUAUUAAGCCCUUAUAAUUAUUCCUGGCAUGUCAAGUAGAGCAGGCAUAGAAUUGGAGAAGAUUAGGGGAAUGAAAUUUUAACAUGAUAUCAGUCUUAAAAGAAUUGAAUGAGUGGCCCCACAAAUCAUCAUUCUUUAAAUAUGACUCUGCCAUUUAAUUAGAGAGAGAAUGUAGAACGAAAUCCGCCAUCAUUCUAGGGUUUAGCAUAAUUUUGAACAGUCAGGCAAAGUGGCAAGAUCAAGCUUGAUGUCACACUAUAGGACUUCUUAAAACUUAGAACAAAGGGGAAUGAGAGGUGUGUGGCAGUGGCAUUGGAGUGAAGAUGUUGGACACUUGGCAGCCUGGUCCCUCCUUCCUUGGACUUUGCUCCUGUGCAAAUGGUUUCCGAGUGGAAAAGUAGCAGAGUCAAACCAACCAAGAUUUCUUAAGAAAAGGAAUUCCGGUAUCAGCCGCGAAAGAGGUGACUUUUGCAUCUGUCACGUCUGAGGGCUCCUGAAGUGUUGUCUCAUUAAAAUGUAUGCCCAGAAUUAAUUCACGUUCAUUUUGUUAAGAGCCAAAUCACCUGGGUUGAAUUUGUGCGUGGAAUCAUAAAAAAUGAAUAAUGAGAAAUGGUAACAGGCCCGUGGAGUGGCCAGGGAGGAGGAGCAUAGGUAAGCGGAGCCUCUUCUCCCCCUCGGUGAUUUUUAAUGUUUCUUUGGGUGGGUGGGGGGAGAUAGUUCAGUCACUAAAGUCAUUUCUUUGCAAACAUGAAGACCUUUCUUCCAUCCCCAGAACCCAUGUUAGAAAAUAAGAAACUGGGUAUGUUGGCACUUGGUUAUGGUCACACUGUGGAGGAGGCAGAGACAAGAGGAACCGUGGGGCUUACUAGCCAUCCAAAUUAGUCUACUUCAUGAGUUCAAGGCCAAUGAGAGACUUGACGGAUGGUAUCUGAGAAAUGGCAUGAGGUGUCUUUGAACUUCCACAUGUACACACAUACAUUCACAUACACAGGGGCAUGCAUACACACAUACACAUACUGGGACAUGCAUACACAGACCCACACAUCCAAACACAGAUGAACACCUACACAUUUGGUGUUUAUGGAGGUUAUUCUGAAGCUGUUACAUGGUGUAAAAUAAAUAGAAUCUUUAAAACAAGUGACAGGUUAAAAUUUGUAAUUGGCUUUCAAUGGUUUCCAAGUAGGUGGUAAUAAGAAAAAGAAGAAAAUUCCAAAAGAAAGUAAGAUUUAUACAUUUUUUUUUUGGUAAGAAAACCUGAAAAGAACAUUUAAUGGUCUUGUGAGGCUGGGUGAGGAGAUAGGACCCAGGGGAGAGGAUUCAUGAAGUUGCCUCAUUUGGACCUGCACAUGGCAGCGGUUUUGGAAGAUACUAAUAAAUGCCAUGAUGUACCUGGCCUAGAGAUGCUCAGAGGUCGAAAAUUAGAGCCCCCGCUCCCAUCAUCUCAGAGCCAAAACAAUGAUAUCCUAUGUCUGAUACACAUGACUGAUCUUAACAAGUAUAAGGCCAGACUGGAUGGCUCAACCUCUCACUCUGCACGUCAUCUUGGCUGCCCAUCACCCGAAGGACAGCUACUUCUUUCUGUCCUGUAGAUGAUUCCCAGGAGAUCACGCUGGCUCUCCUCUCUUGCUAGGUUAAGACAUUUGUGUUGAGUUGUUAUCAGGACAUUUAAUGUUUUUCUAAGACUUCAACUGCUCUUGACCUCCCAAGGGUUCUAAUUUUAGAACUGCCCAUGAUUGGCAACUGGCUACUUUGGGGAUACAUCAUCCUCAUCUCGAAAAGCAGAGGCUGGGACUCAUUUCACAAUGAGAGUUUCCUAGAACAUUAGGGGACAGGUCCCUUCUAUCUGAAGAGAGGCCUGGAUGUUGUGGGGGAAGAAUUAGCACAGACAUGCCUACAGGAUCAAAACGGAGCAGGACUGGUCUUUGUAUUACCAUCUAUUUUUCUAUCCUCCUCUCAAAUGGGGCUGCUCAUGUAUCCCUUCAUCAAAACCCAAAUUCUGGACCAAGAUGCUGCUUUGUACAUCAAGGUUCCCCUUUUCUCGGGUAUAUCAGAGAAUGUCUGGUCUCUGAAGCAGACAAAAUGAAGUAUAGGGGCCUCUCACUGUCAGCCUCUUGGGUACCAGAAAUUGGUUGUCUCAUUCCAUAGCAAGCAGGCCACAUAGACACCCCAGUGCAUCCUGGGGGAGUGACCCGCAAUAGCUUCUCUUUGGGUCUCCUGCUGGGCCUCUGAGCUUUUCAUGAUCUCUGGUGAGAGCAUGCUCUCAUUUUAUAACUAAAGGGAAAAAAAUUUUAGCCUAUUCCAUUUUCUUUGUGUUUCACGUACUCUCAGUGUCAUGUAAAUGGGCACCGAACCUACCAGUUUCUCCUAAAACUUGUACUAUUUUUAUUUUGGGAUAUAAAUUGUUUUAGGUUCCUAGGCAGUCUUUUCCAAGACAUCAAUGUGGCCUCAAAGAAGUGUGAAGUGUAAACACUUAGGGCAGUGGUUCUCAACCUGUGGAUCUUGACAACUCUAGCAAACCCCUCUCUCCAAAAAAAUAUUUACAUUAUAAUUCAUAAUAGCAGCAAAAUUACAGUUAUGAACUAGCCACAAAAAUAAUUUUAUGGUUGGGGGGGUCACCACAAUAUGAGGAACUGGAUAACAGGGUCACAGCAUUAGGAAGGCUGAGAACCACUUGCUCAGGGUUUCAAGAAAGGAAACUUUAAAGUAGAAAGAGGUAUGAGGCACACACAGAGAGUUUCCCCAGCCUCAGAUUGAAUAGUUGAUAAAAUUGUGUCAUAACUAUCUAGAGGAAAUGGACUUUGGUGACUAUGUGUUGAAAUCUGGCUUGUGAUAUAAAAACACAAUUAAGCCAGCCAUUUUGUCACAGCACUUCAAACCUCCCCUUCCCUUAGUGAUGUGGCUUCCACUAGCUUGUGAGAUUAGCUGGCAUCCUUAGGUGAUCCUGACAUAGUCCAUAAUGUGCCUACGUUCCUGCAAAAGGAAGCAGAUUGAAUUACAUGUGGCUAUGGCUGAGACUGCAGAGUUUAUAGCCAUGUUGUUCCUGUAUCCAUCCACAUCUGCAUUUUCUAAAAUGUGUACUGCUUUUUUUUUAACCAAAGGACAGCUUUGAAUAGUCACCCCAGCUGAUGGCUAAUGCACAUAAACUCUUUGUCUUUGCCAAUGUACCCCGCAUUGGGUUAAGUAUUUAUCAUAGAUUAAUUGGAAGUAGUGUUAUUUUUAUUUGUAUUUUGUAGGCAAGGAAGUCAACUCAUGAAGAAAUAAAAUCACACAUUCAGUUUACAGAGAUAGAGCCAGGAUACCACCUCAGGGGAACCUGAUUCCAUAGUUGACAUUUAGAUCAGUGGUCUUCUCAGAGAUUCUAUUCAGUCUUUUUUUUUUUUUUACAUGAAUGAGAAAUAGGCAGAUAAGCCAAUGGACAGGGCAGAUCAGAGUCAAGUUUAGUUCCAAGCCAAUUGAUUACAUUCAGAUAGAAAGAAAACAGCCAGCACAAAGAGAUCACCUUUUGUUCUAAGUCUCCAGGAAUCGGGAGAUUGCAGUUCAUUGCCCCAUGCAUGGCUCAGACCCGUACACUUCCAUGCAGUAUAAGCAUAGACACUGCAGGAACUGCGUCACCUGCAUUAAAACCCCAGCUCCACCACCUAGAAGCUGUGUGAUCCCAGGCGAAUGACUUGCUGCCUCUGUGACUCUGUCUGGUCUGUAGAGAGAGGGUAAUUGUGCCCACUUUACAUGGCCGUUGUGGAGCUGAAGAGGUUGUGGAUGCAGAUUUGUGCCUGCUAUAGAGUUAAGUACAGUGUACAGGUGUUGGCUUUACUCUCAGUCUCAUGAUCUGCUCCACAGAUGUGGUGAUGAUACUGGCUGUGAUGGAGGCUUUAGGUAUUCAGAAGCUCUCUGUACUUUAUAUAGGAGAAGAUGAGAACACAGCUCCUGUUAGAUGCACUUCAGUGACUAUGACAAUUUUAAGAUCGUCUAGGACAGUGGUCCUCAACCUGUGGGCCGAGACCCCCCCCCCCAGGGAUCGCAGAUAUCCUGCAUAUCAGAUAUUGACAUUGCAACUCAUAACGGCAGCAAAAGUGUAGUGAUGAAGUAGCAAUGGAAUAAUUUUACAGUUGAGGGUCACCACAACAUAAGGAACUGUAUUAAAGCAAUGAAAUAUUUUUAUGAUUGGGGCUCACCCCAACAUGAGGCACUGUAUUAAAACAAUGAAAUACUUUUAUGGUUGGGGUUCACCACAAUAUAAGGAACUGUAUUGAAAGCAAUUAAAUAAUUUUAUGGUGGGGAUCCCCACAGUAUGAGGAACUGUAUUAAAGGUCACAGCAUUAGGAAGCUUGAGAAGCUUUAUCUCAUUGAAAUGGUAAGUGAAACGGUGAUCAACCGACAUGUUGCAUGCCACUGGGUAAAAUUACAAUUUUGCCCCUAGUCGAAGGAGAUUUAACUUCACAUACAAAUCAGAUGAUUUUCAAACUGAAAUCAGAGAGACUGAAAAUUUAUUUUGAGAGUCUGAAUCUUGAUCUGGGUAGAUGAUUCGGUCAACAAGGUGUUUGUUAUGUGAGCCCAAAUACUCCAGUUGAGAUGCCCAGAGCACAUGGAAAAUGGUGGUGUGGAACCUGUGCCCGCAUCCCUGGGAUGGAGAGGCGGGGGCGUCUCUGAGACUGCUGGCCAGCUAGUCUAGUCAAAUUAGUAAGCUCCAGGUUCAGUGAGAGACUCUCUCUCCAAACUAAGGUGGCUAUUGAUCAAGGAAGGGAGCUAAUGUGAACAUCUAAUCUCUAUAGACUCAGACAGAGUUGAGCAUGAGCACACAUACACAUGAAAUUUUGAAUCUUGACAUGUUAGAAAGUGGGACGUAUUCCUAUCUGCAAAAGUCAAGUGAUUAAGGAAACCAUAAUAGAGCUUUUGUUUUGACAAUUCAUCUUGGGACGAUACUGUAGGUCAUCCAAUAACUUACAGAUUUGAUAGAUUUUCACAGAUUUAAGUCUUCACUUCUGUUUUUGCCAAAGAAUCAGACUGGAUUUCGUGAUUCCUUAGAGGGCUUUCAUGGGGGUAAGGCAGGCUUUAUGCCUUUAAGGAAGCUUGGCCCAACUCUGCCAGCUCACCAAUGGGAAAGGUUGGCAAAAUUCCAAAGGUGAUUUGCAUUUUAUCUGUUAUGUCACAGGGUGGAGUGUGUUUGGGUGGGUGAAAGGGGAAGCCUAUAAUUUUAUAGCUAUUAGUAGAACAUUUCUGCUAAGCCUCUUUUUAUUCUAAAAAAUUGGAAAGAAUCUCAGCACUCAGGACAAUUCUAGGCUGCUCUGCCACCAGAAUAGAAUCUACCCAGACUCGGUACUAAUUCUGACCGUACAAGUCAUCAGAGUAUAAAUAUUGAGCCCCAAAUAUUGACUACCUUUGCCUCUCUUUCUUUCUUUCUUUCUUUCUUUCUUUCUUUCUUUCUUUCUUUCUUUCUUUUUUCUGAUCAGCAUUGUCUUUUGUAAAGAUUUUUCUGUGUAAAUAAAGAGGUAGGGUUUUGAACUUAAUCCUAACUACUUAGGAAAGAUGGCGCCACUGCUGUCUUGCUUAGAAAGAUGGAGCACUGUCGAGCUCACUACAGAGGCAUGAAUUGCUUCCGUAUUGGUAGCCAUCAUGUGUGUCGGAUGUACACAUGUUCUUCUAGCUUCUUGAAUAGAACUCUAGAUGAUUGCCCUGUCAAUAAAUUAGAACAACAACCAUGUCAUGCUUUCUCGCUGCCUAGGGUCACCCUCAGGUGAGGCUUAGCGGCUUCACUACACGUGGGUAAUCAGGUGAAGGAGCGUCCCGCCAUCAUCCAUGGGUCAGCUAUGUGGACUCUAGCUGCCAAAGGCGCUUCUCCUUCUGAACCGAGCGCUUUGCUCAGCCAGUGUAGACAUGGCCUGAUAAACAAUGGAACUUCUGCCUUGAGAACUGGAGUGUGGCUUGGUCUAAUCCUUUAACUGAGAAUCGGGCACAGGUUUGAUGGAUGGUUGAGAUGACGGCGUUUCUAGUAAAGCGGAUCCUAAGUUGGCAAUAAUGGGAUGAGCAGAGUAAUUUAUAAUGAACUUCAAAGGGGUAGCACCGCGUGCGGCAGAAGCUAAUCAAGGGGCGAUCAAAUCAAAGGUUUCCCAUGAGCUUAACUAUGGGUGGCAGGGAGGUUCUUGCAGGCUUAUAUCUGUCAGGUCUUAGCGCUAAACCUCUCAGAGCGUUGCCUGGCCAUGUCAUUUUUUAACCAAGAUGUCACCUACCUCAGGAGAAGCAACCUGCCUUGUGUUCUCCUCCCUCUGUUUUGUUGGGGAAUGCAAAUGAAGUGGGGGUGCCUUUGCAGGCUGGCAGAGUCAGGGAGGACAUGGCUUAUGAACAGCAACCCUGCACCCCACCCAGGCUGGCUGCGGGGAGUGGUUCCAGACCUGUCCAGAGAAGUCUGCCCAGGGUCAUUGAGAUACCCCUGAGAUUUCAAUCGAGUGUGUGAAGGACGCUGGAAACAUGAAUCGCUAUCUGUGUUUUUCUUUUUGUGCUCUUAACCCACCACCAAUAGUGGGAAAGGUGGUGGCAUAAGCCUUAAAACACAACCCCUCUCUCCUAGGAUUUGACAUCUCCAAACUAGGCAUUCCCAGACCCUCUAUAGCUCACCAAGCUUCCAAGUUUUAAAUAUUAAAACCAUGAGGCUAGUUUUUCACAUAUUGAAAACAACUCAAUUUGGGAACUGGGAAAAAAAACAACAACAACAAAAAAAAAAAAAACCUGAGACUUGUACUUUGACUUUUUGAUCAUUUGUCUAUUUCCUCAGGAAAAAAGAAAGUGUUACUGGUGGUGAUAUGAAUUAACUGUGAGAAACCUAAGAAAAAUAUUACCUUCCAAUUCUCUUCAAAAUAGAUGCUCACAUUAUCUUUAAAUGGUGGCUAAGUGGUUCAGCAAGAAGCAAGCAGCGUUAACAGCUUCAGAAAAUAUAAACCCUGUCUCUUUAGAAGCGCGAGUUGGCUGAAGAGCCCAUACGCUUAAUUUGUUGAGCAACCACACAGUCUUUGCCGCUGUAUUUCGUUAGAAAGGAAGGAGAGGCUGUUUCUACAGGGUGUCACAGAAAAAUCGAUGCUGAGCCACGGAUUAUUGGAUCCCACAGAACCGUGGAGACUCGGCAGUGAAAUUCUUCCAAAGCCUCUUCUGGAUCUCUGAAUUGAAAGAAAAAGAACAAAACAACAACAAAAAAGCAAAGCUGUUCCUCACACCUCGGUUGCUUCCCUGCAUCGCUUAGCAUUCCAUCUGCGAAGGCAGAGGUGUCCCCGGUUUGGGAAGUAUAAAUCCCGUGGGAAGUCAGCUGGAGAACAUUUUACGCAUCGCUCAUUCUGUUAUGAGCCUGCUGUUCUUCCAUCUCCCGACAAGUGUACGCUUUUAAAUCGUCUGAAACACUAAAGGCUGUGUAUUUUCACUGCUCAAACUCGGGCUAAGUAGACAGUGUCCUGACUCUGACUGUGCCCGACAUCCCUGCUCUGUGCAAGACAAUGGAUGAGAAGAGCACAGAAAUAUAAAUAAAAUAACUGGAAGUGAAAAUCUUUGAAUUUCCCAUUCGAUGUGUUAAAGGACAGAAGCCACAAUAAGGCUGCCUGGCUACAUUUUCCCAGUGCCCCCAACUGCGAGUUAAGCUGACGAACAUUUCAAGAGCUCGGCCCAUUUCAUUCACAGCGGGAUGGCAGGAGUUGCCAUGAGGAAUAAACUAAAAAUCAUGCUUUUAUCGCACAUUUGUGUUGAAUCUCAGGACUAGAAAUGAUGAAAUUCUGCUCAGCAAGUGGGUGACUGAUUGUCCCUGCCAGCUGGCUAAUAUCAUAAUUAGCAAAGUUGCUACUACAUCUGCAAAGUUUAAUCAAAAAAAUUUACCAGUGGUAUGAUGGCAUUGUCACCAAGAUCACCAGGGUCUCGGAGUCGACUUCUGCUCCAAGUGGAAUGGCAAGCUAUGUAGCUGAAAAACUGUGAAACUUGUUCAGCCAAAGGUUAUGCUUCGCAUCCCCCACCAGGGAGGAUCAUCUCUCAUGAAAACUUUCAAAUUUGAUUUUGAAAAUUUAUUCAGAAAAAUUUAAGCCACGCUCUUUUUUUUUUUUCCCAACACAAGAAAUAAUAUGCUCUGGAGAACCCGCUAAUUCACAGAAAAUGGACUGGGCUGACGUUCGGGUUCUCAUCCUACCACAGUCCUCUUGAGAAGGACAGCCAGGAGGCUAAUAAUGAAGGGGCCAGGGAAGGAGGCCAAUACUACAAGGGUUAUCUCCCCACCUCAGAUGCUGGAUAAGUUGAAGGAGGCAGACUCGCUUCUGGAUGACAUUCAGAAAGGCUGGAGCGAUUAUUUGGAAGAGAAAACCCUGCCUCUGUUUUCAAAGGUACGUGAAUAUUGUCGAGACCUGCCCGUCUAAAGGUCCCGUCCUUAGAAUCCUGCCUCAGACAAAGGAUGCACUUGGAGCCCGACCACACCUAAAACCACGUUUUGAAGGAUCUGCCAAGCUCACUUUUAAUCAUGAGAAAGAAAUUACCCACAUGGAGGCAGCAGAAAAUGAGAAAGUAGAGUUCGUGCCGCGAUUAAUUCCAGCGAGUGCCAAGGGGCUAGUUGAGGAAUGGCUUCAUGAGAUGUUAGUCUGUCUAGAACACCACCUGAGGAUCUAAGCCGGACGUUUGAGAAAGAAACGACUUCAAGGAAAGACUCCUUUCCCUAUGGUUUAAUUCCUUACUUUUUACCCGGAUUGUAUAAGAUGUACUCUCAAACUAUGCUCACCCUUUCUGCUCUCUGAGUAUUUUUUUUUUUUUUGCUUGAACUGCUUAGCAUUGACUAUUGAACUGUAUAUUCAUUCUGGAUUUUUAAAAGAGAAUUCUAAUAAAACCCUAUUUGUGUUUUUAA